GACGAACGCUGGCGGCGUGCUUAACACAUGCAAGUCGAACGGAAAUUCCCUGCUUUUGUGGGCUUCUCGUGUGCCGAACGGGUGUGUAUCACGUGCGUAUCCUGCCCAUGACUUCAGGAUAACUUCAGGAAACUGGGACUACUACCGGAUAGGAGCUCCUGCUGCAUAGUGGUGGUUAGCAAGUGUCGGCGGUUGAGGAUGUACUCGCGGGUUAUCAGCUUGUUGGUGGGGUAGUGGCUUACCAAGGCUUUGACGGGUAGCCGGCCUGAGAGGGUGACCGGCGACAGUGGGACUGAGAGAGGGCGCAGACUGCUACGGGAGGCAGUGGUGGGGAACAUUGCAGAAUGGGGGGAAGCGUGAUGCAGCAACGCCGCGUGCGGGAUGACGGCCUGCGGGUUGUAAACCGCUGUCGCCUGUGACGAAGCGUGAGUGACGGUAAUGGGUAAAGAAGCACCGGCUAACUACGUG
rnacentral:rRNA from 1 species